UGCACGAGGGCUCGUUUGCUCUUCAGAGCCUUCGAUUCUGGUCCGUCCGAUGGAGCCGCGCGCGACGAUCAUUCCGAUCACGACAAAUACAAUACAGCUAUGGUCGCAACCGCUUUCCCCUUCUUCUCUCGCGGCCUCUCUCCCAACUCAAACCCCUCCGCCGCCGCCGGCCAGUCUCCCCCAACUCCGGCGCGCCCCUCCUCCACUUCAGGCCCUCCUCCCCCGCUACACCCCCACACUUGUGUGCCCCUCUCCCUGACGCCUCCCAGCCACCCGCAACCGAUUCACUUUCUCUUCCCCUCAAUCUCCUCCGUCACGCUGCCUCGCCGGCCAGCCGUUAUGCCGGAGGCAGCCCCCCCCCUCCUCCACCGGCCCCACUCCUAUCCGAUGGCCCCUCCUCUCCUCCGCCAGCCCUUCCUUACCUCCACCAGCUCAUGCCUCCUACCCUCCUUGCAUCGGCGACCCCAGCCAGUAUGACCACUACAGCGUGCUGCCCAGGCACCACCACCUCCAGAUUCCUGGAUCAUUUCAACGAAAAAUGGAGAAUAACAGAAGUACAUUAGCUCCCUAGAUGACAAUGCAACAUAACUCUUACUCGUUGCUUUUUGGUUUGGCAAGAAUCUGGAUAGGAGCAAGGUGGGUGCUUGAUCUGCUUGAAUCAACCAACAACCAGUUUUUGGAAGAUGUUAACUAGUCGAGCUUUGUUUUCUUCAUUCUUGGCCUUUUUCCAACUAUCGUUGUUAUGUCAACAAAGUAAUAUAAAAUGUCUAGGUUUCUAUAGCUAUGUCGAGUGUUAAGAUAUCGGAGAUUUCCUGUGUUAGUUGAUAUUUCAACAUGGAUACAUCGCAAGAUACGAACUGAUGCCGUGUAUUUUAGCCAAUUUUGAGCAAUAUGUACCAUUCUUGUCC